rnacentral:lncRNA from 10 species
GCACUGUUCUGUGCUUACAAAGACAGAGCUUUCAAAAUUAAAAUGUGAAGGUUGAUAAGAACUUGGUUUUUCAUGACUGGAUGUGAAAAAUCUUAGUACAUUCAGUUUUCUUGUCCAUAUCUUUAAAAGAGAGGGCAGCCUUUUCCUUAAGUGAGUUCAUGAUAAGGGGGGCAAGUGCACUUGAUUCAUUGCUAAGCAGGUAAUAAAUUUGGGUAGAUGGCCUGUCUUGUACUGUGUACAAUCUCUAUAGGUCAGGUUUUCCAAACAUAUUUAGCAUUCCACUUAUGGUAAGAAAGAAAUGCAUGCACACAGGUAGUAUGGCAACUUUAUAUUGUGUUAGGUACUUAUAAAAUCUGUCUUAAAUUUUAAAAUAAUUGAUUUCAUUUACUCCCAUAUUCUAGGGGACAGUAAUGAGCUUUGAAUAUUUAAUCAUUUGAUUGACAACUAUGUAUUGCACAGAUACUGUACUAAAAUUACAGCAAUGAACAAGAAGACAAGACACAUGGACCCUGCCUUUAUGGCCCUUCGCUGGUACUGGGAAGACAAAGAUAAUAAGACACAGUCCCUGCUGUGAGGAAGCUCAUGCACUGCUGAAGAAGAGAUUCACAAAAACAAAGAAUCACAAUGUAGACAAAUUCAGUAACCACCAGGCACAAAUUCACCAGGAACAACCAAGCAAGGAAGGAAGAAGAAGCUGAUGCAACAAGGUGUGGUAUGACUUCAUCCCUCGCCCAUCCCCAGAAGUAGCACUGAGUAAAACAAUGGAGAUGACAAAAAUAUUGGUAACAGUGGGCCCCAGUAUGGACAAAGGCACUGACGAGGUGACCAGGCCACGUGGAGGAGAGUCAAGGAAAACUCUUGGGACAACGAAGUCUUUGCUUCCAUCUCAGGACCUCAGCAGAAGGGGAACCAAUGAAGAAACAUUUAUCUGAAGUUCAGCAGCCCCUUCAAUUUAAUGCCUAAUUUUUUUUCUAUUGCAUUCAAAUAAAGUUAAAUCUAAAACUUGUUUGCUGGCCGGGCACAGUGAGUCACGCCUGUAAUCCCAGCACUUUGGGAGGCCGAGGCGAGUGGAUCACUUGAGGUCAGGAGUUUGAGACCAGCCUGGCCAAUAUGGUGAAACCCCAUCUCUAAUAAAAAUACAUAAAUUAGCCGGGCGCAGUAGCAUGCACCUGUAAUCCCAGCUACCUGGGAGGCUGAGGCAGGAGAAUUGCUUAAACCCGGGAGGCGAAGGUUGCAG